rnacentral:rRNA from 1 species
GACGAACGCUGGCGGCGCGCCUAACACAUGCAAGUCGAACGAGCGAGCGAGAGCUUGCUUUCUCGAGCGAGUGGCGAACGGGUGAGUAACGCGUGAGGAACCUGCCUCAAAGAGGGGGACAACAGUUGGAAACGACUGCUAAUACCGCAUAAGCCCACGGUGCCGCAUGGCACAGAGGGAAAAGGAGCAAUCCGCUUUGAGAUGGCCCCGCGUCCGAUUAGCUAGUUGGUGAGGUAAUGGCCCACCAAGGCGACGAUCGGUAGCCGGACUGAGAGGUUGAACGGCCACAUUGGGACUGAGACACGGCCCAGACUCCUACGGGAGGCAGCAGUGGGGAAUAUUGCACAAUGGGGGAAACCCUGAUGCAGCGACGCCGCGUGGAGGAAGAAGGUCUUCGGAUUGUAAACUCCUGUUGUUGGGGAAGAUAAUGACGGUACCCAACAAGGAAGUGACGGCUAACUACGUA